rnacentral:rRNA from 1 species
GACGAACGCUGGCGGCGUGCUUAACACAUGCAAGUCGAACGGAAAGGCCCUGCUUUUGUGGGGUGCUCGAGUGGCGAACGGGUGAGUAACACGUGAGUAACCUGCCCUUGACUUUGGGAUAACUUCAGGAAACUGGGGCUAAUACCGGAUAGGAGCUCCUGCUGCAUGGUGGGGGUUGGAAAGUUUCGGCGGUUGGGGAUGGACUCGCGGCUUAUCAGCUUGUUGGUGGGGUAGUGGCUUACCAAGGCUUUGACGGGUAGCCGGCCUGGGAGGGUGACCGGCCACAUUGGGACUGAGAUACGGCCCAGACUCCUACGGGAGGCAGCAGUGGGGAAUAUUGCACAAUGGGCGGACGCCUGAUGCAGCAACGCCGCGUGUGGGAUGACGGCCUGCGGGUUGUAAACCGCUUUCGCCUGUGACGAAGCGUGAGUGACGGUAAUGGGUAAAGAAGCACCGGCUAACUACGUG